AAACCCUUUAACACGAAUUUUCUACAACUGUCUAGGAAUACGAAAGUUUAUCGCGUAUCUAUGUAUUUAUUCACUAACAUGAAUAAUGUCGGGCCUUGCGGCUUGAAGGGUGACAAGACAAAACGAUAAACUAGAAAUAUACAUUUUCUUGUGUUAAAUAGUUUCUGUGAUCACUUAUUAAAAGGAUGAUCACAAAAAGAGGAUUUCAUUCUUUUUUCAAAAUCACUUGAACUUGAAAUCUUGAGCCGCCAGAUGUCGGUGUUACUUUACAGGAGCUGCUUCAGUCUGCUGUCCAUCAGUCUUCUUCUGUCUAGCAGCUGUCUGGAAGAUGCUGACUACUGUCUUUCCCUGUGGGGCCAGUGGUUACACAGAAAUGGACGAUCACUCAUGUGGAUUUUCCUCUCUCUUUUGAGACGACCAAACCAGAUCCAGUUUCAAUGCGUCCAUUCACUCACUGAUGAUGAUGAGGAUGAUGAAGAAAAGCAGCGUGAAGGGCCAAGAAAUAAAACGAUGCUGGAAACUCACAUUAUUAAAAAGAUCACAUUAAAAGAAUGAUUACACAACGAUUUUGUUCUUUUUCAACAUUUCCAUGCAUGCCUUUAAAGUUUCACUCUUUAGAUCAGGUUUAGAUCGAGUGAAAUGUAACACUAAUAAUAAAGAGAAUAAACAAUAAAUUAAAUUAUUAAUAAUAAUAACAACUAUGUGGCAAUAAAAAUAUAGAGGAAAAAAAUACGAAAAUACAAAAUUAUGACUGUGCAGAUGUGUUACACUGGCGCGACGAAGGGUGUUCCAAAUUUAAGUGUGUGGACUCCGAAGACCGCAUUUGAAGUGCGAAUGCGUCAACGCGGCGCGACGAAGGCUGACAAAUUUCGAAAGCAACUUCAAAUGCGCCCUUCAUUUCCCAUGAAAAUGAAGUGUACAUCUUAUGGACACUUCGCACCCUACCAUAUCCCAGAAUCACUUGCGUGCAUAUGACGAAGGUGUUUAUAUUCAGAGGCAGACGAGAGUUCUGUGGAGGAGACUGUAACGUUAUUAUCCAGUGAGUGAGGAUUGGCUGCGCUGUGUGCGAGAGGAGCGCGUGCUGGUUCCGAGCGGUUGUGGACGAUCGACUGUGGAUGGCGAGGCGAUUGGCUCCCAAGGCGGUUGGCAACAACUGGACUGUGAAUGGACAGGAGUAUGCAGAAGGAAGUGACGGUUCAGGAAAUGAAUUAGGAGAGAUGGAAGUAGGUAGCGGGAGUCAGGGGAUCAACUGUAGAAGAAACGAAGAGAGAGGAAUAUAAAGUGUUUGCAAAGCUUAUGCAUGAAGGAGACUCGUUUGAAGGAUCCAGCGUUCCAGGAUUCCAUUAAACAAAAGAUCAUUCACCUUUAUUUAUAUAGUGCUUUUAAUAAUACAGAUUGUAUCAAAGCACUGAAUAGUAUCAAAUAGGAGAAUAGAGCAAUUUAUAAUGACAAGCUUAAACACUCAAUUUCCAGUUAAAUGUAUUUUAUUAUUGAAUGCAGAGACGUCAUUGUCUAGGUCAGUUCAGUUUAAAUAGGAUCUGUGUAAUCAAAUCAACAAUAAUCGCUAGAAAAAAAAGAUAACAUUUUCUAUUUUAUGUUCAGACUGUUAAAUAAAAUUAGUUUUAUGUAUCAAGGCUGUGUUCCAAUAGUGUCAAUCACUGUAUUGUAGGCUAUUUAUGGGUUUCUAAAUAUACAUCUAAUUAAAAACUUGUGAAGUUGUUUAACUAUGGAAAUGGUAAAUGAGUCAAUAAAUGAGUGAUCCCUGCCCCCUACAUGCUAUUU
ensembl:lncRNA